rnacentral:miRNA from 1 species
UAACCGGAUACCCCCAUCCCGCUU